UUAAAAAGCUCGUAGUUGGACUUCUGUUGAGGACGGCCGGUCCGCACUAUGUGCGUGUAUCUGGUUCGGCCUCGGCAUCCUCUUGAGGAACGUUUCUGCGCUUGAUUGCGUGGAGCGGUAUUCAAGACUUUUACUUUGAGGAAAUUAGAGUGCUCACGGCAGGCAAGCGCCUUGAAUAUGUUAGCAUGGAAUAAUAAUAUAGGAUCUUGGUUCUAUUUGUUGGUUUCUAGGGCUAAGGUAAUGAUUAAUAGGGAUAAUUGGGGGCAUUUGUAUUAACGCGUCAGAGGUGGAAUUCUUGGAUUGCGUUACGACAAACUACUGCGAAAGCAUUUGCCAAGGAUGUUUUCAUUGAUCGAGAACGAAAGUAUGGGGAUCGAAGAUGAUUAGAUACCGUCGUAGUCUAUACCAUAAACUAUGCCGACUAGGGAUUGGAGGUCGU
rnacentral:rRNA from 1 species